AAGUCGUAACAAGGUCUCCGUAGGUGAACCUGCGGAGGGAUCAUUACUAGAUCACACUUGGCGCGCAGGGGGUCCUUUCUUCCUCGGAAGAGGGGGUCCUUUGUGAGCUUACACCUUGUGAACUGAAUUUGUACUAUGUUUUUUUAUGUUGUAAAAAUUUCUAUGAAAUUUAUAGACAACUUUUAGCAAUGGAUCUCUUGGCUCUU
rnacentral:misc_RNA from 1 species